AAAAAAGUUUAUCUAAAAAAUAACAUAAAAAGUUUACUGUACCAUGUUUGUUCUUAUGAUUCUCUCACCAAUAUUGAUCGAACGACAUUCUGCGAGUCAAUUAUGCAACAGUGGUCUUGAUCGUGCAACUGAUGCGUGAAUUUUAUAGGCAUAAUGCUUACGAGAAACGAGAAAGCAACAGAUAUUUAUUAUCCGUGCGCUGUAACUUACCUACACAUUGUUUAAAAAAAGCAAUAGCUUAAACAAUGGUCAGCAACUUCCUAUCCGUUUUGGCCAAAUAAUACACGCCGUCCAACGAACAUUAUUUAAUACAUUUAUUUAUCAUCAAUUUCACUUCAACAUCAUCGACAAAACACUACAGAACCUUCAUGCCUAAACUAUUGGAAUAUAUACAGGAUCAAGCGAAUAUUGCACAAAAUUCUAUCUACUCAAAUCAAAACGACUAGCAGUCAUUGAUAGAUUCUUUAAAAACAACGUGACAAAGAGCAAAUGGCUUUUUUUGGCACACACUGACAAAAAAAUGCGUAAAUCAUUAAUGGUAUUAUCUAACAGCAUUAAACGUCCUUGUCAUUAAAAGACAGGCCUGGUAAUAUUUCAAUCUCUUCUUUCAAGCUAAAAAGAAUCAAGAGAUCGCGGUUACACAGUACGUAAAUAAGUACAAUAUCGAAACUUUUGGGAAGCCAUGUCAUAUGCAAAGUUGAAAAUAACCAUA